CCUACGGGGGGCAGCAGUGGGGAAUUUUGGACAAUGGGCGAAAGCCUGAUCCAGCAAUGCCGCGUGCAGGAUGAAGGCCCUCGGGUUGUAAACUGCUUUUGUACGGAACGAAAAGCCUGGGGCUAAUAUCCCCGGGUCAUGACGGUACCGUAAGAAUAAGCACCGGCUAACUACGUGCCAGCAGCCGCGGUAAUACGUAGGGUGCAAGCGUUAAUCGGAAUUACUGGGCGUAAAGCGUGCGCAGGCGGUUUUGUAAGACAGUGGUGAAAUCCCCGGGCUCAACCUGGGAACUGCCAUUGUGACUGCAAGGCUAGAGUGCGGCAGAGGGGGAUGGAAUUCCGCGUGUAGCAGUGAAAUGCGUAGAUAUGCGGAGGAACACCGAUGGCGAAGGCAAUCCCCUGGGCCUGCACUGACGCUCAUGCACGAAAGCGUGGGGAGCAAACAGGAUUAGAUACCCGGGUAGUC
rnacentral:rRNA from 1 species